AGAAGUGUUUGAAGAGAAAAGAAUGACCUCUGUGUUCUCACAGGGAUGGAGUCAGCCCAAUUAAGUAUGGUUUCUUAAAUUGCUGACAAGUCUGUAUAAACAAAGCUUGCAUAGGCUGAUCUGAAGCUUACAAGAGAUCAUUGCCUUUAAUUAUGGUUCAGCACAAGUGAAAAUUGAGCUAGAGGUACUUGGAAGGUAGAAAGCUUGAUGCUCCUGGCCUGAGUCGGUAUGUGGAUUUUGUGGCUGUUAGUAAGCAGGCUUUCCCUGCACGCAGUUUCCAUUGGAUCACAGCCCGCAACUGGUUUGUCUGGGCUCUGAGCACCAUGAUAAUACCUUCCCCUGGAGCUGUAUGUAGCCUUCCUUGUCCAGAUCCAGUGUUUGCUAGCAAGGCCUCCAAAUUGUUGGGCUUACAUCGAUAUUCCUAUUUUCCCUUCAUGCAAACAAUGGAGAUCUCAGCAAAAGCCCAUCCAGGAUCUUGGGAAUUUCCUACAGACCUCAAAGGAUUUUGGAGCUAGCUCAUAGCAUGUCCGGUACUGUCUGGUUAACUCCUUCACCUCCAGAUGUGGCUGCAUUUCAUGCAAGACCUGUGGUGUAAAGGCCAUUAAAAAAAAAAGGCAUGGGACUCUUCACCAUGGAAGUCACUC